rnacentral:rRNA from 1 species
AUGCAAGUCGAGGGGUAACAUGAGAGCUUGCUCUUGAUGACGACCGGCGCACGGGUGAGUAACGCGUAUGCAACCUUCCUUUAACUGGAGAAUAGCCCCCGGAAACGGGGAUUAAUGCUCCAUGGCACUCUGAAUACGCCUGUAUUAAGAGUUAAAGUUCCGACGGUUAAAGAUGGGCAUGCGUGACAUUAGCUAGUUGGCGGGGUAACGGCCCACCAAGGCAACGAUGUCUAGGGGUUCUGAGAGGAAGGUCCCCCACACUGGUACUGAGACACGGACCAGACUCCUACGGGAGGCAGCAGUGAGGAAUAUUGGUCAAUGGACGCAAGUCUGAACCAGCCAUGUCGCGUGCAGGAUGACUGCCCUAUGGGUUGUAAACUGCUUUUAUACGGGAAGAAAGGUAUCUACGUGUAGAUAUUUGCCGGUACCGUACGAAUAAGCAUCGGCUAACUCCGUGCCAGCAGCCGCGGUAAUACGGAGGAUGCGAGCGUUAUCCGGAUUUAUUGGGUUUAAAGGGUGCGUAGGCGGAAUGGUAAGUCAGCGGUGAAAUACUGCAGCUCAACUGUAGAACUGCCGUUGAUACUGUCAUUCUUGAGUAUAGAUGAGGUAGGCGGAAUGAGUGGUGUAGCGGUGAAAUGCAUAGAUAUUACUCAGAACACCAAUUGCGAAGGCAGCUUACUAAACUAUAACUGACGCUGAAGCACGAAAGCGUGGGUAUCAAACAGGAUUAGAUACCCUGGUAGUCCACGCCGUAAACGAUGAUUACUGGUUGUUUGCGAUACACAGUAAGCGACUGAGCGAAAGCAUUAAGUAAUCCACCUGGGGAGUACGUUGGCAACAAUGAAACUCAAAGGAAUUGACGGGGGCCCGCACAAGCGGUGGAACAUGUGGUUUAAUUCGAUGAUACGCGAGGAACCUUACCUGGGCUUAAAUGGGGAGUGACAGGGGUAGAAAUACCCUUUUCUUCGGACACUCUUCAAGGUGCUGCAUGGUUGUCGUCAACUCGUGCCGUGAGGUGUCGGGUUAAGUCCCAUAACGAGCGCAACCCCUGUUGUCAGUUACCAGCACGUAAAGGUGGGGACUCUGGCAAGACUGCCGGUGUAAACCGCGAGGAAGGUGGGGAUGACGUCAAAUCAGCACGG